rnacentral:misc_RNA from 1 species
GAAAUGCGAUAAGUAAUGUGAAUUGCAGAAUUCAGUGAAUCAUCGAAUCUUUGAACGCACAUUGCGCCCGCCAGUAUUCUGGCGGGCAUGCCUGUUCGAGCGUCAUUUCAACCAUCAAGCCCCCGGCUUGUGUUGGGGACCUGCGGCUGCCCGCAGGCCCUGAAAAACAGUGGCGCGCUCGCUGUCACACCGAGCGUAGUAGCAUACAUUCUCGCUCAGGGCGUGCUGCGGGUUCCGGCCGUUAAACGACCUUCAUAACCCAAGGUUGACCUCGGAUCAGGUAGGAAGACCCGCUGAACUUAAGC